rnacentral:lncRNA from 1 species
AAUGGUUGAUGUUUUGGGUGUUUCUAAUUCAAAUUUCACCGACUGUUUAUUUUUUUUUAAUAUCAUAUGUUUCUUUGGGUUUGAAUAAUUUUUUAUUUUUUAUUUUUAUUAUUGAGUAGAGCUAAUUAGUGUCUCGGUUAUUAACUUCUAUUUAAGGCUUUUUGUUUUAAAAUGAUUAAAAAUAUGAAUAUAAUAAUUUUUAUUAUACAUUUAUGAAUUUGUGAUAUACUCAUUAAGAAUAAUAAUCUACCUUGAAGAUCGAGUGAUAGAAAAAAGCGUAGAUGAUUUUUGAAAAAGUAAAAAUGAAAAAGCAAUCCGUCAACUCUCCAACUGUUCUCCUUCUAUGUUCCGACCGACUAGCC